GGACCAAGGAGUCUAGCAUGUACGCGAGUCAUUGGGAUUUUUUUAAACCCACAGGCGUAAUGAAAGUAAAAGUACGGCGAACUUCGGUUCAGCCGGCUUAGGGAAGAUGUCUGUACGGCGCGGCAUUUUCGGAUGUCGCGUUUGUCGGUCCGCAUUCCUGGCGCGUCUCGUGCCCGCUGCGGUGCUUGCACCGCAACGUGCUGAGGCGCAGCUAGAGCGUACACGCUGGGACCCGAAAGAUGGUGAACUAUGCCUGGUCAGGACGAAGUCAGGGGAAACCCUGAUGGAGGUCCGUAGCGAUUCUGACGUGCAAAUCGAUCGUAAGAACUGGGUAUAGGGGCGAAAGACUAAUCGAACCAUCUAGUAGCUGGUUCCCUCCGAAGUUUCCCUCAGGAUAGCUGGCACUCGUUCAAUGGACGAGUCUCAUCCGGUAAAGCGAAUGAUUAGAGGCAUUGGGGUCGAAACGACCUCAACCUAUUCUCAAACUUUAAAUGGGUGAGAUCUCCAGCUUGCUUAAGCGAAGCUGUGAGAUUCACGGAUCAGAGUGCCAAGUGGGCCAUUUUUGGUAAGCAGAACUGGCGCUGCGGGAUGAACCGAACGUAGAGUUAAAGCGCCUAAAUAGACGCUCAUGGGAUACCAUGAAAGGCGUU
rnacentral:rRNA from 1 species